rnacentral:lncRNA from 1 species
AUCGGAAUGACUUAGAAUAGGAAUCGGAAUGGCCAAAUCCCCUGAGCGCUUGGUUCGUGACUGGAAUCAGAAUCGGAAUUAGAAUGAAAAUUUGAAUCCAUAGAGAAGAGUAGGGAUUGAGUUCUAUAUAAAUUGAGCCAUUUCCAUUCCACCCUGAAAUCGGAAUGAAACUCUUCCUAACCAAAUGGUUGGAAUGGAAGUCAUCCAUUCUGAUUUCGAUUCUAGACCCCCACUUCCCCCA